AAGGCUGAGGCGUGAUGACGAGGCACUACGGUGCUGAAGCAACAAAUGCCCUGCUUCCAGGAAAAGCCUCUAAGCAUCAGGUAACAUCAAAUCGUACCCCAAACCGACACAGGUGGUCAGGUAGAGAAUACCAAGGCGCUUGAGAGAACUCGGGUGAAGGAACUAGGCAAAAUGGUGCCGUAACUUCGGGAGAAGGCACGCUGAUAUGUAGGUGAAGUCCCUCGCGGAUGGAGCUGAAAUCAGUCGAAGAUACCAGCUGGCUGCAACUGUUUAUUAAAAACACAGCACUGUGCAAACACGAAAGUGGACGUAUACGGUGUGACGCCUGCCCGGUGCCGGAAGGUUAAUUGAUGGGGUUAGCGCAAGCGAAGCUCUUGAUCGAAGCCCCGGUAAACGGCGGCCGUAACUAUAACGGUCCUAAGGUAGCGAAAUUCCUUGUCGGGUAAGUUCCGACCUGCACGAAUGGCGUAAUGAUGGCCAGGCUGUCUCCACCCGAGACUCAGUGAAAUUGAACUCGCUGUGAAGAUGCAGUGUACCCGCGGCAAGACGGAAAGACCCCGUGAACCUUUACUAUAGCUUGACACUGAACAUUGAGCCUUGAUGUGUAGGAUAGGUGGGAGGCUUUGAAGUGUGGACGCCAGUCUGCAUGGAGCCGACCUUGAAAUACCACCCUUUAAUGUUUGAUGUUCUAACGUUGACCCGUGAUCCGGGUUGCGGACAGUGUCUGGUGGGUAGUUUGACUGGGGCGGUCUCCUCCUAAAGAGUAACGGAGGAGCACGAAGGUUGGCUAAUCCUGGUCGGACAUCAGGAGGUUAGUGCAAUGGCAUAAGCCAGCUUGACUGCGAGCGUGACGGCGCGAGCAGGUGCGAAAGCAGGUCAUAGUGAUCCGGUGGUUCUGAAUGGAAGGGCCAUCGCUCAACGGAUAAAAGGUACUCCGGGGAUAACAGGCUGAUACCGCCCAAGAGUUCAUAUCGACGGCGGUGUUUGGCACCUCGAUGUCGGCUCAUCACAUCCUGGGGCUGAAGUAGGUCCCAAGGGUAUGGCUGUUCGCCAUUUAAAGUGGUACGCGAGCUGGGUUUAGAACGUCGUGAGACAGUUCGGUCCCUAUCUGCCGUGGGCGCUGGAGAACUGAGGGGGGCUGCUCCUAGUACGAGAGGACCGGAGUGGACGCAUCACUGGUGUUCGGGUUGUCAUGCCAAUGGCACUGCCCGGUAGCUAAAUGCGGAAGAGAUAAGUGCUGAAAGCAUCUAAGCACGAAACUUGCCCCGAGAUGAGUUCUCCCUGACUCCUUGAGAGUCCUGAAGGAACGUUGAAGACGACGACGUUGAUAGGCCGGGUGUGUAAGCGCAGCGAUGCGUUGAGCUAACCGGUACUAAUGAACCGUGAGGCUUAACCUUACAACGCCGAAGGUGUUU
rnacentral:rRNA from 1 species